GCCGUCCUCUUCCUCUUAAAGGGGACGCGCCCACCUCUCCCGCCCCGCCUGAGGCCGCCCUCCUCCAGCGCCCCGUUCCGCGGCACGCCGUCGCCCUUUGCCACUCCUUCCUGCUCCGAGAGCCGCUGCAGCCCCCGGGUUCGAGCGGGGCCCCACGAGGGCACGCCGCCACCCCGCGAGCGGGCCCCAAACGCCCGGCCCCUCGAUGCAGGCCGCGGGUCUCUGCCCGCGUCCCCCGAGAGCAGAGAGAGGAGAGCGCGGAGUUCGCCCGGCGAGGCGGCUCCCCGCCCCGUCCCCUCGCAGCCGCUCCGUGUGCUUUUCCAAAGGAACGUUAAUGCCCCCGGGCUGUCCGCUGCUGCCUCCGCGUUGGCUGCCAGUUGCAGAUGGAUCCCGUUGCGUGCUCCUGGGAAAGCCCUAGGGCAACACUCAAGACUGCAGUGCUGGUGAAGUCCUAGUCUGGCAGAGCCUGAGCACCAUGCUGUGUCUUGUCUCAAGGUCCAUGCAAUGCUGCACGACUUCUUCCCAACAUCUGAAGGAAUCUCCUUUCCCAGCUGCCUUCAAAUCAGUUGGGCUCAUCGUUUCAAGCAGCUGUUUGUUUCUCAGUGUCUGUGGAACUGCCCCAUGAAAGUUCUUAGCAGGGUUCUGGCAGGCAAACAUCAAAACUAUUAUUAGCAUGGCAACUCACAGAAAACAAAUCUACAUCUGUGUGCCUUGUGACACCACGGGGAGUCACUGUCACCUCGUGACUUCACAACGGUGUGGAUGGGUAUAUAUAUAGAUGGCUCAGGGUAUAGAUACCCAGAGCGUUCUGCCCUCUUCCGAGUCCUGCUGACAACUCUUGAGACAUCAGUGCCUUCCCUGCGUGGAACAUGAGAUGUCAAGGCCUUGCCAGCUGUACGUGAGACGUCAAGGUCCUGCAAGUGGAUUGCAAGUGACCAAGGAUCCUGCUCAAGGAACACCAGAUGUCAGAGCUCCUGCCACUGGCAGGAGAGGUGUCUGUCACUGGCAGCGACACGCAAGAGGUGCUGAGGCCCAGACACUGCUGACUGCUCUGUGAGAGGCAGCCUCCAGUGAGUCUGUUCUCUGAGCUCCUCCAUGCCAGGGCAGCCACAGCCAGGAGUCAGUCAGGAGGCAGCUGCCAACAUGAGCCAGCAGGUACAGGUGCAGUCGGUGGAGGGCCACGAGGAGGAGACGUAUUCCAUCUGUCUCUGCCCACUGGCGGACGCGGCUCAUGUUGUCCCCUUCAGGCUCACCUGCAGGGACUGCAUCCAGCGCUGGACCACCAGCAGGGCCCAUUGCCUCCCUCCUGAGCCUCAUGCCAUGCCCCCCAAAGGACUCCUUGACCCACCAGCCCUGGGGAAGGAUCCAGUGCUGGGGAAGAACAUCUCCCCCUUGGUCCUGCAGUGUCUCACCCAGGCACAAGAAGCACAGCGUCUCCAGAUGCUCCCAUCAGGGAGAACACAGCUUCUCCUGGCACUGGGAGCCCAAUGGGCACCACUGCAUCUGGCCACCACAGGACACUGAGGAGGGGAAUGGCUGAGCAGGUCCCACAGGAGCAGCUGGAUGGCAAAGAGCACACAGCACUGCACUCAGCCCCACUGCUGAGUGGGCAGCACAACCUCACCUGGGGACGGCACGGGGAUGGAAAGUGCUGGUGGGGAGCAGCUGAGGCACUGCACAGCUCUUCUGCCUCGGCUCUCACUGAGCAUUGCUCAUCCCUGGGCUGUGUGAGGAGCGCUGCCAGCAGCUCGAGGUCAUCGUUCCAUUCCCCUCUGCUCAGCUCUGGUGAGACCACAGUGUCCAGGUGUGGGCUCCCCAGUAACACACAGACCCGGACACAUUGGAGUGAGCCCAGAGAAUGGCCACCAAGGUGCUGGGAGGAUGGGAGCAUCUCUGCUAUUAGGAGCUGGGGUGGUUGGAUGCUGGGAUAGUCCUCCAGCCGGAGAGAAAAUUUCAGGAAGUCUUGUCAUUGUCAAUAAAUUGUGGAACGUCCUGAAA